GAGGUGGGAAGAUUGCUUGAGCCUGGGAGGUUGAGGCUACAGUAAGCCAAGAUCGUACUACUGCACUCCAGCCUGAGUGACAGAGCAAGACC
rnacentral:miRNA from 1 species